AUUGAACGCUGGCGGCAUGCCUUACACAUGCAAGUCGAACGGUAACGGGCCUUCGGGUGCCGACGAGUGGCGAACGGGUGAGUAAUACAUCGGAACGUGCCCGAUCGUGGGGGACAACGAGGCGAAAGCUUUGCUAAUACCGCAUACGAUCUACGGAUGAAAGCAGGGGACCGCAAGGCCUUGCGCGGACGGAGCGGCCGAUGGCAGAUUAGGUAGUUGGUGGGAUAAAAGCUUACCAAGCCGACGACCUGUAGCUGGUCUGAGAGGAUGAUCAGCCACACUGGGACUGAGACACGGCCCAGACUCCUACGGGAGGCAGCAGUGGGGAAUUUUGGACAAUGGGCGCAAGCCUGAUCCAGCCAUGCCGCGUGCAGGAUGAAGGCCUUCGGGUUGUAAACUGCUUUUGUACGGAACGAAAAGCCUUCUUUUAAUACAGGAGGGUCAUGACGGUACCGUAAGAAUAAGCACCGGCUAACUACGUG
rnacentral:rRNA from 1 species